rnacentral:rRNA from 1 species
UGGGGAAUCUUGCGCAAUGGACGAAAGUCUGACGCAGCGACGCCGCGUGAGUGAUGAAGGCCUUCGGGUUGUAAAGCUCUGUGGGGAGGAAAGAAUAAGUGUGUUCUAAUCAGCACAUGAUGACGGUACCUCCUUAGCAAGCACCGGCUAACUCUGUGCCAGCAGCCGCGGUAAGACAGAGGGUGCAAACGUUGUUCGGAAUUACUGGGCGUAAAGCGUGUGUAGGCGGUGAGGUAAGUCGGAUGUGAAAGCCCAGGGCUCAACCCUGGAAGUGCACUCGAUACUGCUUCGCUUGAGUACUGGAGAGGUUGGUGGAAUUCUCGGUGUAGAGGUGAAAUUCGUAGAUAUCGAGAGGAACAUCUGUGGCGAAGGCGGCCAACUGGACAGAUACUGACGCUGAGACACGAAAGUGUGGGGAGCAAACA